rnacentral:rRNA from 1 species
AGAGUUUGAUCCUGGCUCAGGACGAACGCUGGCGGCAUGCCUAAUACAUGCAAGUCGAACGCUUCUACUUAUUGAGUGCUUGCACUCAAUAAGUUAGAGGAGUGGCGGACGGGUGAGUAACACGUGGGUAACCUGCCCAUAAGUGGGGGAUAACAUUCGGAAACGGAUGCUAAUACCGCAUAAUUCUGAUUGCCGCAUGGCAAACAGAUGAAAGGUGGCUUCGGCUACCGCUUAUGGAUGGACCCGCGGCGUAUUAGCUAGUUGGUGAGGUAAUGGCUCACCAAGGCAAUGAUACGUAGCCGACCUGAGAGGGUGAUCGGCCACACUGGGACUGAGACACGGCCCAGACUCCUACGGGAGGCAGCAGUAGGGAACCUUCCGCAAUGGACGAAAGUCUGACGGAGCAAUGCCGCGUGAGUGAAGAAGGUUUUCGGAUCGUAAAACUCUGUUGUUAGAGAAGAACAAGGAUGAGAGUAACUGCUCAUCCCCUGACGGUAUCUAACCAGAAAGCCAUGGCUAACUACGUGCCAGCAGCCGCGGUAAUACGUAGAUGGCAAGCGUUGUCCGGAUUUAUUGGGCGUAAAGCGAGCGCAGGCGGUUCUUUAAGUCUGAUGUGAAAGACCCCAGCUCAACUGGGGAAGGUCAUUGGAAACUGGAGAACUUGAGUGCAGAAGAGGAGAGUGGAAUUCCAUGUGUAGCGGUGAAAUGCGUAGAUAUAUGGAGGAACACCAGUGGCGAAGGCGACUCUCUGGUCUGUAACUGACGC